AGCAUUCAUCCGUGGAUGUUGGGGAAGGCCAACUUUUACUUUCUCAAUCUGAGCAAAAUUUCACUGUUUUAAGGAGCAAAACGAGCAGAAUUAUUGGACAGGAAGAAUGGUAGGAGAGAGUAGAGACCUAGGCAAGGGCCGCUCCUGUAAAAAUUAGGUAAAGGGAGAAGAUGAGGAAGAGAACAAUUUGGAAGUACGUGAAACCAAAAUUAAGGGUAAAAGUGGGAGAUUCUUCACAGUCAAGCUCCCAGUUGCUCUUGAUCCUGGGGCCAAGAUUUCAGUCAUUGUGGAAACAGUCUACACCCAUGUGCUUCAUCCGUAUCCAACCCAGAUCACCCAGUCAGAGAAACAGUUUGUGGUGUUUGAGGGGAACCAUUAUUUCUACUCUCCCUAUCCAACGAAGACACAAACCAUGCGUGUGAAGCUUGCCUCUCGAAAUGUGGAGAGCUACACCAAGCUGGGGAACCCCACGCGCUCUGAGGACCUACUGGAUUAUGGGCCUUUCAGAGAUGUGCCUGCCUAUAGUCAGGAUACUUUUAAAGUACAUUAUGAGAACAACAGCCCUU
rnacentral:lncRNA from 10 species